AAUGAAUAAUAAAAAUUAAUAUAUAAAAUUGAAGAAAAAUACAUGUGGGUAGAAAUAAUAUAAAUUAAAGGAACCAAAAUAGGAGGAAAAAAAAAUUAUAAAUUUAAUUAACAUAUGUAAAGAUGCAGUUCAAUAGUCAAGUUCGGAGAAUUUGAUGCCUUGAAAUUGUAAAAUUAAAAACUUAAUAACUUAAAAGUGUGCAUAUUGUUACCUAAU
rnacentral:misc_RNA from 1 species